rnacentral:rRNA from 1 species
UGGGUUAAGUCCCGCAACGAGCGCAACCCUUGUCCUUAGUUGCUAACGAGUCAAGUCGAGAACCCUAAGGAAACUGUCGGUGAUAAACCGGAGGAAGGUGGGGAUGACGUCAAGUCCUCAUGGCCUUUAUGUCCAGGGCUACACACGUGCUACAAUGGGCGGUACAAAGGGUCGCAAACCCGCGAGGGGGAGCCAAUCCCAUAAAACCGUUCUCAGUUCGGAUUGCAGUCUGCAACUCGACUGCAUGAAGCUGGAAUCGCUAGUAAUCGCGGAUCAGCAUGCCGCGGUGAAUACGUUCCCGGGCCUUGUACACACCGCCCGUCACAUCAUGAAAGCUGGUUGUACUAGAAGUCGCCGUGCUAACCGCAAGGGGGCAGGUGCCCAAGGUAUGACUAGUGAUUGGGGUGAAGUCGUAACAAGGUAAAUGCCA